GCAGGGGAUAACACCUGGAACAGAUGCUAAUACCGUAUAACAGAGAAAACCGCCUGGUUUUCUUUUAAAAGAUGGCUCUGCUAUCACUUCUGGAUGGACCCGCGGCGCAUUAGCUAGUUGGUGAGGUAAAGGCUCACCAAGGCGAUGAUACAUAA
rnacentral:rRNA from 1 species